GAAGGCCGGAGUGACCAAGAUGGCGGACGGGAUGGAGCCGGCGGCGGCAGCAGCAGCGGGGGAGGACUCGGAGUCCGGGCCUUUGCGGGAUCCUCUGCCCGGCGAUGUCGGUGCGGAAGCCAAGCGGGGCCGCGGGCGGCCGCGCCUCAGCGACACCGACCGGCUGCAGCGGCGCCUCAACAGCCGCAAGAAGUACGACAACCGGCGCAUCUAUAUCGGAGAGUCCUACGUGGUGUGGGCCGCCCUCCGAGAGCGUUACGGCUGGUCUGACAAGAGGCUGGCACUGCACCUGGUGCAGCUGGAGCAGGGCGGCCGGGACCGCCGGCACAGCAAAUCUGGUGCAGAGGAACAGAACUCGAAAAUUAAUUCCUCACAAAAAGUCAAAAAGCAAGCACUUAGCUCACUGAAGACUCUGGUGGUGUGGUACGAGCAUCAUAAACAGACAUGCAAGCAGGAGCCUGUACUCUAUGAACUGCAGCGAGUGUGUGAGUGCUCAGUGGCCAUUGUGUGGCAGUGUGAAGCAGGUCACCAGUACCUGCAGUGCUUAGAGCCUGUCCGGAAGAACUGCCACACCCCGGAUGCUGAACCUGCCGCCAAGGACAUUGUGACGGUCAGCACUUCAGAGGAAACCCAGAGUCAGCAGCCCUGCCCAGUGACCAAGAAGGUGCGGAAGGAAAAAAGAGGCACAGUCAGAAAGAAGCCAGGACAGUCUAAUGAAUUGUACAUGAAGUGCGAAUCGGACACUUCCACCUGUGACGAGUCUGACUCUGAACAGAAGUUUGAAGAAUAUUUCAACGUGAAACUCAUUGAUGUUGAUGCCAGUGAGUCUGUCUAUGACACUGCAAACAAAGAAGGUGGCGUGAAUGACAAAACCUUGAAUUCAGGGGGCAAAUCUUGUGAGGAAACAGACAAAAGUGAAGACAGACAUGGAACUGAGGUUGGUGAGCUGGCAUCUCCGUGUCGAGCCCAAUCGCCAUGCAAGAGCUCUAUUGCGGAAGACCAUCUGCCACUGCCAGCACAGCUUCCAGCACUGGCUGACGUACCGCAGACUGUUGAGAAAGAUGCGUUGACCUCCUUAACUGCCGACUGUGCUGUAACUGUGCAGAUUUCCACUGUACAGAGUUCGGAGAUCACUAGCAUCACAGAGUCAGAGUUUGGGCAGGUACCUUUGGACACUGCGCAGCCAGCAAACCCCACUGAAUAUGAGGAAAUGACAUGUACUUUUUCAGAGCAGUUGACGUAUGUGAAUCCAGUGGGUGAAUGUUAUACCAUUGCGGGACAGACUGAAGGCGCAGAGUGGAGUGAGCAUCCAGGUGUGAUAGGAGAAAGAACAGUCAUUGAUGGCUCUGCGUUGCCUGCACCUGAACCAAAGGAAGCUGCACAGAAAACGCCACAUAAACCAAAGAGAAAAAAGGGCGGCUACAUUAUUGAUGCAGACGGGAUGUUUCAGUUGUUUCACUGUCCGCAUGAAGGAUGCAACCAGGUGUAUAUCACUUUGAACAGCUUCCAGAACCAUGUCAACCUUGUGCACAGAAAGGGGAAAACGAAAGUCUGUUCACAUCCAGGUUGUGGGAAGAGGUUUUACUUAUCGAAUCAUCUCCGGCGACACAUGAUCAUUCAUUCAGGUGUGCGGGAUUUUAUCUGUGAAACAUGUGGGAAGUCAUUCAAAAGGAAGAACCAUCUUGAAGUUCAUCGAAGAAUGCACACAGGGGAGACUCCACUCCAGUGUGAAAUCUGUGGCUAUCAGUGUCGACAGAGGGCGUCGCUGAACUGGCACAUGAAGAAGCACGACACGGAAAUACAGUACAACUUCACCUGUGAAUACUGCGGCAAGAAGUUUGAGAAAAUGGAAAGUGUUAAGUUUCACAAGUUAAAAAGCCACCCUGAAUGUCAAACCAUGUGACGCUACUGGACUUAAACUACCGUAAUAUUUGAGGAACGUGUACAAACCCUCCUUGAUGCCAUGUAAAUUCUGUGCAAGUACUGUGACUAUAUGGAAAAUGAAAUUUUUAUAUUAUUUUCAGUUUUCUCGCUGUCAUAUUUUCAAAUGAGGGACAGUGAAGUUGGGGGUCUGAAUACAAUGAGAUUACUUGAAUCUUGGGCCAGUGCAAUCACUGUGCUGAGGGAGAUGUUGUCACUUCUGCAAUGCACUCUGAACUGACUGCUGAUGAAGCCAAAGGUGGAUUUGAUGCUGAAGUUGCAAUUAAAUAGCAUCAUUUGUAACGUCAUGACUUCCAGUGGGCCUGCGUUUGGCAUACUUCAGGGUAGAUGGGACAGUGUGGGUGUUUGAGGGCUGUAGCACUGUCUUUAGUCAGCAUCCUUUUGCCAUGGUGCUCAGGUACAGUGAGUGGAUCCUUUCAACGAUUGCAACCCAUUUUGCCAACUCUGCGGAGAACAUUAAACAGCCUGUUUUUAAAAAGAAACUAGAAACUUGAAGGCGAGGUUAAUGAGAUGUUGCAUAACAAGCGAGACCCUUUAGGCUUCAACAAAAGCGAAAUACCGCGGAUGCUGGAAAUCUGAAACGAAACCGGGAAUACUGGAGAAACUCAGGCAGCAUGGGAGGAGAGAGAAACAUAAACAGAAAUUGCACCAUCUGUGGAGAGAAAUCAGAGUUAACAUUUUGGGUCGUAGAACAGUACAGCACAGUACAGGCCCUUUGGCCCAUGAUGUUGUGCCAACCUACUAAGAUCAAACUACCCCGCGCACCCUACAUUUUACUAUCCUCCAUGUGCCUAUCCAACAGUUGCUUAAAAGUAUCUAAAAUCCAGUGACCUUUCUUCAGAACUCUCUUCUUGGAGAGAAAAUAUUUUGAGUUCUUUUUGAUUUUUCUUUAGGAACUGAAGGGAAUAUUUAUUUAUUUAUGUUGAAAGGGGAGGAAGAAUAAUAAAAUGAAGGAGA